CAAAGCACUGAUGACCCUCUACAAAGCAGGUUGAGCCACUGAUGUCACAUGGUCUAUUUUAUGGAUGUCCUUACUGGGACUUGAACUUGGUGGUUCUGUUGCUGUCAAUGCAAAGCUCUCUGAUUUCAUCAAAAAUAUCUUCCGAAGAUGAACGGGUUUGGAACAACAUGAGGCCUGUCUACCUGCAUUCAUUUUAAAGCAAUAACUCAUGGAUGAGCAACACCACUCAUUGGCAACCACUCACACUGAUGGCUCCACUUAUGUGGUGACCAAAACAGCAGCACCUCCCCACAGUCAGAUCACGAAUCGCAGUGACUUCAUCUCCACGUUAUGCAAUUAAAUCACGGAGUGAAGAUUUGCAGGUUGUAUAAUUGCAGGCGCUCCAUGUGUGCCCUUCUCAUUGCGGCAAAGGCCAGAAAUGUACUCUACGCAGAUAUACUGUAGGACAUGACAUUUGCAGCCUAGCAAAUUGCCUAGAAAAAACAAAAACGUUCAAGAACUGAACAAAGAUGGCAGCAUAAUGGCAUUUGAAGAGGUGCAUGCAAGCUGCUUCCGUGGCCCCCGGAGAGAGGAACGUAAGGCGGAGGGUGAGGCAUCCCAAAAUAUGAGGAUAAAUCGCAGGAACGGCCGGGUGAUGUGAAUUAAGACAGAUUAUUGGUCAAUAAUUCAGAAGAUGCAGUAGAUGAACUGGACCCACCAGACCACCUGAUGCUGAAGUGAAGAUCUGGGAUGUUGCCUGAAGAUGCGGUGAGGGAAAUGCUGGCCGAUGUGUGCAAAUGGUCCAGAGCAGGAACAUCACACACACUCCAGCCCCAGGCAAAAGAAUGGGCUGAAAUAUUUUUAAACAGUAAUUACCUGGCCGGGAUCCGACAGAGGGGGAUUAAUGGAGGAACGCGGAG
ensembl:lncRNA